rnacentral:rRNA from 1 species
GAUGAACGCUGGCGGCGUGCCUAAUACAUGCAAGUCGAGCGAACAGACGAGGAGCUUGCUCCUCUGACGUUAGCGGCGGACGGGUGAGUAACACGUGGAUAACCUACCUAUAAGACUGGGAUAACUUCGGGAAACCGGAGCUAAUACCGGAUAAUAUAUUGAACCGCAUGGUUCAAUAGUGAAAGACGGUUUUGCUGUCACUUAUAGAUGGAUCCGCGCCGCAUUAGCUAGUUGGUAAGGUAACGGCUUACCAAGGCAACGAUGCGUAGCCGACCUGAGAGGGUGAUCGGCCACACUGGAACUGAGACACGGUCCAGACUCCUACGGGAGGCAGCAGUAGGGAAUCUUCCGCAAUGGGCGAAAGCCUGACGGAGCAACGCCGCGUGAGUGAUGAAGGUCUUCGGAUCGUAAAACUCUGUUUUUAGGGAAGAACAAGUGUGUAAGUAACUAUGCACGUCUUGACGGUACCUAAUCAGAAAGCCACGGCUAACUACGUG